rnacentral:rRNA from 1 species
GUCGAGCGAGAACCAUGGCUUCGGCCAUGGGGACAGCGGCGAACGGGUGAGUAACACGUGGGUAAUCUGCCCCUGACACUGGGAUAGCCCGGGGAAACCCGGAUUAAUACCGGAUAGCCUCUCGAGCUCUCGGGCUCGUGAGAAAAGAUGGCUUUGGCUUUCGGUUGGGGAGGAGCCUGCGGCGGAUUAGCUUGUUGGCGGGGUAAAGGCCCACCAAGGCGACAAUCCGUAGCUGGUCUGAGAGGACGAUCAGCCACACUGGGACUGAGACACGGCCCAGACUCCUACGGGAGGCAGCAGUGGGGAAUCUUGCGCAAUGGGCGAAAGCCUGACGCAGCGACGCCGCGUGAGGGAAGAAGGCCUUCGGGUUGUAAACCUCUUUCAGGAGGGACGAAGCUACUCGGGUUAAUACCCCAGAGGGUGACGGUACCUCCAGAAGAAGCCCCGGCUGACUACGUGCCAGCAGCCGCGGUAAUACGUAGGGGGCAAGCGUUGUCCGGAAUCAUUGGGCGUAAAGAGCGUGUAGGCGGCCAGAUAAGUCCGCUGUGAAAACUCGAGGCUCAACUUCGAGCUGUCGGUGGAAACUAUUUGGCUAGAGUCCGGAAGAGGAGAGUGGAAUUCCUGGUGUAGCGGUGAAAUGCGCAGAUAUCAGGAAGAACACCCGUGGCGAAGGCGGCUCUCUGGGACGGUACUGACGCUGAGACGCGAAAGCGUGGGGAGCGAACAGGAUUAGAUACCCUGGUAGUCCACGCCGUAAACGAUGGGUGCUAGG